rnacentral:tRNA from 3 species
GGAGAGGUCGCAUAGUGGCCUAGUGCGCUCGAUUGGAAAUCGGGUAUAGCCGUAAGGUUAUCGAGGGUUCAAAUCCCUCCCUCUCCGCCA